AGGCCUUUGGGGGAGGUAGCAUGCGAGUUGAUGGGAUACCUAAAUUUCCCAUGGCAAACUGCUCAGUAACACAUGAUCAACUUACCCUAUAGAGAAAUAUAACCUCGGGAAAGUAUCAUAGAAUAUUUUAUAUUUAAUAGAUUAUGAUACCCCGAAACUGAGGAUAAUAUUUCAUAGUUGAAUUGGCUUGGAAAAGUUUUUCAAUUAAAGGAUAAGAAAAAUGGUUCUUAUUUGCUAUAGGAUAGGAUCGUGGUCGAUUAUGGUUGUUGGCGAGAUAAUGGCUCACCAAGCCGAUAAUCGAUAGGGGCCGUGAGAGCGGGAGCCCCGAGAUGGGUACUGAGACAACGACCCAGGCCUUACGAGGCGCAGCAGGCGCGAGACCUCCGCAAUACACGAAAGUGUGACGGGGUUACCCAAAGUGUUCAAUAUUGAACUGUGGUAGGUGAGUAAUGUUCCCUACUAGAAAGGAGAGGGCAAGGCUGGUGCCAGCCGCCGCGGUAAAACCAGCUCUUCAAGUGGUCGGGAUAAUUAUUGGGCUUAAAGUGUCCGUAGCUGGUUUAGUAAGUUCCUGGUAAAAUCGGGUAGCUUAACUAUCUGUAUGCUAGGAAUACUGCUAUACUAGAGGGCGGGAGAGGUCUGAGGUACUACAAGGGUAGGGGUGAAAUCUUAUAAUCCUUGUAGGACCACCAGUGGCGAAGGCGUCAGACUGGAACGCGCCUGACAGUGAGGGACGAAAGCCAGGGGAGCGAACCGGAUUAGAUACCCGGGUAGUCCUGGCCGUAAACGAUGCAUACUAGGUGAUGGCACGGCCAUGAGCCGUGUCAGUGCCGUAGGGAAACCGUUAAGUGUGCCGCCUGGGAAGUACGGUCGCAAGGUUAAAACUUAAAGGAAUUGGCGGGGGAGCACCACAAAGGGUGAAGCCUGCGGUUCAAUUGGAGUCAACGCCGGG
rnacentral:rRNA from 1 species